rnacentral:tRNA from 18 species
GGAGAAGUACCCAAGUGGCUGAAGGGGACGGUUUGCUAAACCGUUAGGUCGUUCUUUUACGGCGCGCGGGUUCAAAUCCCGCCUUCUCCGCCA